AUGGAGGUUGGAGUGUAUUGGGUAGAUGAAAGCGGUGAAGAGGAAGUGAUAGAGGUUUGUUCGCACGGAAGGGAAAUUGAGAGCAAGGUGAUGAUUACGGUGGAAGGUCCUGCAUGGAGGACAAUGGAGUGUAUUGCUAUCGCGAGUGUGAGUGUGGAGUGGAAGAGGGAAGAGGUGUUCGGAAGGUUGUGCUAUGGAGGUCCGUCGGGUUUCUUCGGAACAAAGGUGAUAAUGGAAGGAAAUUGGAGAAAGCAAGCGAAAAUUUGA